UGGCUUGAUGAUAGGUGCUGCCAGCUGGUUAAGUUUGAGGUGGGGUGUGUGUGGAUUUUAGGUUGACUGAACCAGCAUAACUGUUUCUGCGGACAUUGCUUUUCUAGGUAUCGUCUGUAUUUGUCCAACGCUUUGGUAAGGCACCUGGAGAAGGGGAGCCUGACUUGAGAAUACUUUGAACAUGCAGGAGAUAUCAAAGGGGCUGAUGUCAAAGUAACUCCUACUUGAAUGCUGGCACAAUUUGGAAUAUCUGACUUCUGGAUUCCUCUUUAUUCAAAUACAGAGUAUUCCUGAGACAGAACUAACGCGGGAGCAUCCUCGUGAAGGACAAGUCUCUCUUCCCUGCUUCUUCCACCAGAUGCCAGUAGCAGCUCAGCUAAAAUCCUCCCGCCGCCGCCGCGCAGGCCUCGCAGCCGGCUCCGCUGCCGCCCCGUCAGGCAUGCCUCAGCUACCUGCAGCAGAAGAGCAUGCCUCCGACGCGCAGCCAGCUGGCGCUUGUGCGGGCCGGUCAGCUCGCCCGCAGCCUGCCUUGUGCGCAGGCUUCCAGGAGGAUGACGAGCAGGAGAAUAGCUUGCCCUUGUUCAACCCAAGGAGUGAAUCUCUUGCAUCCUGCCUGAAGAAAUGUGCAUUAGUUUUCCUGAGGGUUGGGAGCCUUGCAGCUGGGAUAAAUAAAAUUAUUGUAAAUAAGAACGAGUCAGUGGGUAGGAGAAUCUUUUGUUAAUUUUGCUCCAAAUAAACAAAUGUUUCUGAA